UCCCUCUCUUCAAAAAUGGCGCUCUCUCUCUCCUCCUCCCUCGUCCUCUCUCUCUUCUACCCCUCCUCUCCUCAGACCCUCUCUUUCACGGUGAGAAGCGGGAUGCCGAAUUGGGUUCGCGUAGCAUCAAAAUCUCGAUCUUUGGGUACUAAUUUUACUCGAGGAUACGGAUUGGGUUCUUGCGUAGCAUCGAAACGGCGAUCUUUGGGUGGUAAUUUUACUGUAAGAGCUGGGCCUAAGAGGAUAUCUUUUGGGGAUGAGUGUAAAAGGGGCUUGUUGGCAGGGAUUGAUAAGCUCGCUGAUGCGGUUUCCAUUACCUUGGGGCCGAAAGGGCGUAAUGUUGUUAUCGAUGAACCGGGAGUGCCUAAAGUAAUAAAUGAUGGGGUUACGAUUGCUCGGGCUAUUGAACUCUCAGAUGCAGUUGAAAAUGCCGGUGCCAUGUUGCUUCAAGAGGUAGCAAGCAAGACAAAUGACUCAGCGGGGGAUGGGACCACCACUGCAAUUAUUUUGGCUCGGGAAAUGAUCAAAUUAGGGUUGUUGGCAGUUGCCACCGGGGCUAACCCUGUGUCUUUGAAAAAGGGCAUCGAUAAAGCUGUUAAUGAACUUAUCAAGAUCUUGAGGAGUAAAUCUGUUCCCGUGAGUGGAAAGGAAGACAUAAAAGCUGUAGCUGCAAUAUCUGCGGGAAAUGACCAGUUUAUUGGAGAUCUUAUUGCUGAAGCCGUUGAAAAGAUUGGUCGUGAUGGAGUAAUCUCAAUUGAAUCAUCUUCCUCUUUUGAUACCCUAAUAGAAGUCCAAGAAGGAAUGAAGAUAGACAAGGGGUAUAUAUCUCCACACUUCAUCACAAACCAGGACAAAUCGAUCGUGGAGUUUCAGAAUGCUAAAGUUCUUGUAACCGAUCAAAAGAUUACAAAUAUUAAAUCCCUAGUUCCUUUAUUGGAAAAGACCACUCAGCUAAGCGUGCCAUUAUUAAUCAUCUCUGAGGAUAUCUCAAGCGAAGUGCUUGCAACUCUCGUCCUAAACAAACUGCGAGGAGUGUUGAAUGUUGCGGCGAUUAAGUGCCCUGGUUUCGGAGAAGGAAAGAAGGCUCUUCUCCAAGAUAUUGCUCUCAUGACAGGUGCAGAUUUUCUCGCUAGCGACUUGGGCUUGACGCUUGAAAGCGUGACUUCGGACCAGCUAGGUAUUGCUCAGAAGAUUACUAUAACAAGUAAUUCGACGACCAUCGUCGCAGACCCAAUAAUGAAAGAGGAGAUUAAGGCGAGAAUUUCCCAAAUAAAGAAAGAUAUAAGUGACACAGACAGUGCUUAUUUAUCAAGGAAGCUGUCUGAAAGAGUUGCAAAGCUUUCAAGUGGUGUAGCCGUGAUCAAGGUAGGAGCACCCACUGAAGCUGAACUUGAGGACAGGAAACUUAGAAUUGAAGAUGCAAAGAACGCAACUUUUGCUGCCAUAGAUGAAGGUAUAGCACCUGGUGGUGGGGCCACUUUUGUACAUUUAUCAAAGCAAAUUCCCCAGAUUAAGGAUCUUAUUGAUGACCCAGACGAGAAGAUUGGAGUUGACAUAGUUGGAAAGGCACUUCUUACACCCGCUAUGACAAUAGCUCACAAUGCGGGGCUCGAUGGUUCGGCUGUCGUUGAGAAGCUCCUUUCUAGUGAAUGGCUUAUCGGGUAUAAUGCAAUGACUAACAUGUACGAAAACCUCCUUCAAUCUGGUAUUAUCGACCCAGCUAGGGUUUCAAGGUGCGCACUUCAAAAUGCAGCUUCUAUAACUGGAAUGAUUCUAAUGACGCAAGCUAUUAUGGUCGAUAAAGUAAAGAAGCCUGCACCUCCUUUUCCUUUAGUUCCUGGUAUUACCCCAUAGAUGUAGAAUAUACAAAAAGGGCUUUUAAUAGAAAAGCCAGGGAAGAGAAGUUAUUUUCAUCGCAUAGGCUUUCUCGACUUUGCAAAUCGGCUUUUCGAGAACAAAAAGGGGAAGGUUGAACCAGUAGCGUGAACAGAUAGGGCUACGCGAGAAUUGCUGGAUUCACGAGCUGUUUAAUCGCGAGUUUAUUUUCAAAGCAGAAGAGCGUCUACUGAGGAGCACUUUUGUUUCCUUUUGGACGGUGUAGAUUGCAUGUAUCUGAUGGAUUUUGAUUCUGAGACGUUGAUCAUUCGGAGCCAUGAGUGGUGGUGCAUGAGAUGUACGGAUGCACCUGGUGCAGGCAAUAAUUUGGUUUCCAACUUCCAACGGGUUUAGACCGAUCGCUCAGCCGUUGAUCUGCGGCAGGAUGUAUAUCUGAGCCGUCCAUUUCUCGGCCCACCGUUAACGUUCGCUCAAAUUUUCAAACCCGCUGCGGCUCACCGGUUUUUUUACUUCCUGCACGCACACCGAGGCGAGAAUAUCCAAUGGGAUAAGCUCCCUCUCCCCUCAGUAGUUAUCGCCGUGAACUGCGUACACCACGUCAGCCGAAAGACCGGGACCACAAUUUUUUUGUAAACGUGGGUUUGUGUUGCGUGACACAAAAAUGAACUAACAAUAUGAUAUGUUCGUUUUUUUAAAAAAUGAAUAAUAAUAUUGAGGGCUAAUUUGGAAUUGCGUA